rnacentral:ncRNA from 2 species
GUCCCUUUCGUCCAGUGGUUAGGA